CUGCCCAAAAGAGGGGGAUAACACUUGGAAACAGGUGCUAAUACCGCAUAACCAUAGUUACCGCAUGGUAGCUAUGUAAAAGGUGGCUAUGCUACCGCUUUUGGAUGGGCCCGCGGCGCAUUAGCUAGUUGGUGGGGUAAAGGCUUACCAAGGCAAUGAUGCGUAGCCGAACUGAGAGGUUGAUCGGCCACAUUGGGACUGAGACACGGCCCAAACUCCUACGGGAGGCAGCAGUAGGGAAUCUUCCACAAUGGGCGAAAGCCUGAUGGAGCAACGCCGCGUGGGUGAAGAAGGUCUUCGGAUCGUAAAACCCUGUUGUUAGAGAAGAAAGUGCGUGAGAGUAACUGUUCACGUUUCGACGGUAUCUAACCAGAAAGCCACGGCUAACUACGUGCCAGCAGCCGCGGUAAUACGUAGGUGGCAAGCGUUAUCCGGAUUUAUUGGGCGUAAAGGGAACGCAGGCGGUCUUUUAAGUCUGAUGUGAAAGCCUUCGGCUUAACCGGAGUAGUGCAUUGGAAACUGGGAGACUUGAGUGCAGAAGAGGAGAGUGGAACUCCAUGUGUAGCGGUGAAAUGCGUAGAUAUAUGGAAGAACACCAGUGGCGAAAGCGGCUCUCUGGUCUGUAACUGACGCUGAGGUUCGAAAGCGUGGGUAGCAAACAGGAUUAGAUACCCUGGUAGUCCACGCCGUAAAC
rnacentral:rRNA from 1 species